AGUGAACGCUGGCGGUAGGCCUAACACAUGCAAGUCGAACGGCAGCACAGUAAGAGCUUGCUCUUACGGGUGGCGAGUGGCGGACGGGUGAGGAAUACAUCGGAAUCUACUUUUUCGUGGGGGAUAUCGUAGGGAAACUUACGCUAAUACCGCAUACGACCUACGGGUGAAAGCAGGGGAUCUUCGGACCUUGCGCGAUUGAAUGAGCCGAUGUCGGAUUAGCUAGUUGGCGGGGUAAAGGCCCACCAAGGCGACGAUCCGUAGCUGGUCUGAGAGGAUGAUCGGCCACACUGGAACUGAGACACGGUCCAGACUCCUACGGGAGGCAGCAGUGGGGAAUAUUGGACAAUGGGCGCAAGCCUGAUCCAGCCAUACCGCGUGGGUGAAGAAGGCCUUCGGGUUGUAAAGCCCUUUUGUCGGGAAAGAAAAGCAGCAGGUUAAUACCCCGCUGUUCUGACGGUACCCAAAGAAUAAGCACCGGCUAACUUCGUG
rnacentral:rRNA from 1 species